GUUUGGAGGUGCUGAGAGGAAACGCAGCACGAGCUUGGUUUUUCAGUUCAGGAUAAAAGGAUAGGAAAAGCCCUUCAGAAAGGUGAAGCAACCUGCUUGUUCAACAGGGUGAAGCUUGGGUCAUGUCCUCCUGGAACAAAAGCCUUGGAAAGAGACAUUAGGAUCCAAGCAGGGAAUGUGAGUGCUGGUUCAAGGUCCGAUUCCCAGCAGUGAGUGGAAGUGGCAGUGCUCACCAUAACAUCCUUCUCACAACAAUAAAGGUCGGAUUUGGGGCUGUGAAACCAGGAACGCUCAGAGCUGAAGACUGCCCACAAGUUGCCCCGAGGGCGCUGCUGGGUGCAGGUGUCAGGGAAAUGCAGGAUGUUGUGUGUAUGCCUGGCAAGUCAGUCCCGUCCCAAGGAAAGGGGCGUGCUUGGUCUGGAACAAAGUCAAGGGCUGCUUGCCCUGUCUGCAUCACCUCUCGAAGCUUGGCUGUGCACUUCUGACCUCCUGGGAUGUCCUUACCCCUGGCUUGAGCAAGAUUCUGUGUUGAGACCGAGAUCCUGGUGUACAACGCAAACUGAGUGGAGUUUGUGGCUGCCUUUUGGUGAUGUCGGGAGGAAAAAGAGGAAGCACAAGGUCUGGUAAGAGGGUAAAAGGGGGGAUGUGGUGCCAAAGAGCUGGAGGCCGCAGUGGUGUGCGGCCUGAAGUGGCAAAGGAGAGCUUGAACACCUUCAAUGAGUAGGGUCGGGGGGUUGUCCUUGGUCCUCCAUCUUAACAGUGAAGGGAAUUGGUGGUGAAAGCAAUGCUGGAGUGACAGAACAAGCAGCCUGUAUUGCUUUUGGAAUAAAGCAGAAUGUUCUCUGCAGGAGCCUGAGUGUGAUUCUGGGGAUAGUUUGUACCAGAGGCUCCUCUCCCUGAUUUCAGGUUUUAUGGAUGCAAUUGGUCUGCCCUUGGUGGCAUCCUCCAGCCCUCUAAACCCCAGGUCUCACUCUUAGAGUCCCCACAGCAGCACAUGCUGUUCUGCAGCACCUUAGCUCUGUCCAAAUUCUUCAUGGACGUCAUUUCAGCAACAAAAAGAGUGAAACCAUAAGAAAAUGUGCUGUCUCCUGGCCUCGGGAAAGCCACAGGAGGAGCAGAGCCAGCCCUGGGUGGUGGGGUGGGGAUGUGCACAAGGUGGUGUAGCAGGGAAGAUGUGAGCUGCUCUGCACCGCUGGGUCCCGGGUGGAUUGCCUUCAGCAGAAUAGAUGUGGGUGCUGGGAAGGGGGGAAAAAAUCAAGGGAGAAAGGUGGGAGGACAGAAAUGGGGUGUGAAGAAGAUUUAGAGGGGCUUGAGGGAAGCAGGUGAGGAAUGACACUCUCCAUCCUCUCCUUUCCAGCACACAGGAGAAGACAAGGUGAGAAAGCAAUGCAAGUGGAGGGAGGGGGCGAUGCUUGUGAGUCACCUGCCUCUGAGACCUCUGUGAGAAGAUGCUGGAAAGGGAAGGGGAAGAGUAAAAAGCAGCAAAAGCUGUGCCUUUGCACCCUGGGAGGGGAAGGAAAGCCCCUUGCAUUCAGAGAAGCACAAGUAUUGAGCCAGCUGGGUGCCGGAACAAAACGCCUGGUUUCCCACUGCUUCCAGUGGCUGUAACGUGGCCAUGCUUGUUGGCAGCGAGUCCCCGUCUGUUUGUGAGUGGUGUGAAAAAGCACUUCCCUUUGUUUGUUUUAAGCCUGCUGCCAGGCUAUCUCUGCACCUUGCAGUUCCUGCGGAGGGGGAAGGCGGGCGGCUGCUCCCCGGCCCCAUUCCCUGCCGCCCGGAGGCACAAAAGCCGAUGGGAACUGGCCACGGCUGCGGGAAGUUGUUGCAUUGUGGCUGUGACAAAGGCUGGUCGCUGCCGUGCCUUGAGCUGCUGCAGCUCUGGCUUCUCCCAGGUGCUGCUUUUGGUCUCCAUCGCUUGGGAAAUUCGUCGUGAUGAGCUGGGCGCUUGGUUUUUGGGCGCUUGGUUUUGGCUGCUUGGUUGUGCGCUUGCUGCUGGCUGUCCCCGCUUCUCCUCCUGGUUGUGAAGAGGCCGGGUUUGGGAAGCAGAGCAAAGUUCCCACCAGAAACACAGCCCGGUGAUAAAGCACAACCCGUACAAACACCUGGCAAGCUUCCCUGGCCUGGCUUCACACCUAGAAUAAACCAAACCAUCUUCCUUCCUGCACCGGCAGCCCCCGAGGAGCCUCUCGCUCCUGCCACACACGCUUUCUGUUCUUUCCAGGAGAAAACGGGCUUCCUCUGGAAAGUUCACACGGUGAAAGCUUUUUAUUUCAGACUCACCCCCUUGACCGUGAUUCCGGCUGAGAGCUGGGAACAGGGAAGGCCGGUCCCCUCCUGCUCUGACUUCAGGCACGUUCUGCGCAUCUGCCACUAAUCAGGGCUCCACAGUGAAAAACCAUGGGGGAAAAAAAAACCUCACAAACAGCUCGGGGAUAGGAUAAAUGUUCUCCCAGUGAUGGAUUUCUUUGGCUUUCUGCAGCGUGGUGCUUGGAGGUGGGAGUGACAAGGUCCUCCUGUCUGCUGCUGCCCUUUUUGCGAGCUUGCUGCCUGCAGAGAGGUGCAGCAGCGCUCCUACGCCAA